GAGCCGUGUGGUCGACACAAAGAGAAUAAUUCUUUCGCCUUUUACUAAAGAAUACAAUGUGUUGGCCACCUACAUUGACAAAUGCCAAUUUUUGGAGCCUUCCAUUUCUUAAAAAUGGAG
rnacentral:snRNA from 1 species